rnacentral:rRNA from 1 species
UACGGAGGGUGCAAGCGUUAUCCGGAUUUACUGGGUUUAAAGGGUGUGUAGGCGGGCUUUUAAGUCAGCGGUGAAAUCUCCGGGCUCAACCCGGAAACUGCCAUUGAUACUAUUAGUCUUGAAUUUUGUUGAGGUAGGCGGAAUAAGUCAUGUAGCGGUGAAAUGCUUAGAUAUGACUUAGAACACCAAUUGCGAAGGCAGCUUGCUAAACAAACAUUGACGCUGAGGCACGAAAGCGUGGGGAGCAAACAGG